CCACCACAAGGUCCCUGCCAGAGGCCUCUGAAGUUUGAGUCAACAAAGGUGAUCAAAGACAGGGAACAGCUUUGCAGCACAAAGAGGUUAAUGAUACAAAGGCAAUUCAGUGAAGUGUUCAGACAGCAGGUUCAGGAUAAUCACAAAUAUUUCCUUCUCAUCCCCAAAUCUGCCUCACACUUGGAACAAGCUUCAAAAAACACUCAAAAAAGUCUUCCAGAGCUAUGAAAUGCCAACGUAGUUCAUGAGCAAACUGAGAUACAGGUCCUUGGAAGCAGCACAGAAGUAUCACUCGUGCUUGAAGGUUUCUGCCCAUCACCACUUUGAUCACCCUGCCCUGGAUUCUCCAUCUUUUCCCCCCCUGGUAUCACCAGGAGAGGGGUUGUACAUCAAGUAAAAUCAGUUGCCUGAGGUGGCUCUGAUGAAGCUGCUCAAGGAAGUGUGGAUGCUGCUGGUGUCCUGUGCCCUCCAGAACACUCCUGGACGUGGUGGCAUCUCACUGACCCUCACUGAGCCAUGAGAAUGAAUAUUAAAGGCAGCUGAUGUGUGUGCCCAGGAAUAAAGGACAAGGAAUUCCUGGGAUUGGCUGCAAUGGCUCAAAUGUGAUUGCACCAAUGCUCCUGUUGUGUUGCUCUUCUCAAAAAGCCCACCUGCAGAAGACCAGGCCUUUCUGCUGCUGCUCUGAACUGUCUCUCUCCUGAGAGCUGCUCCUUGAACCCCCUGCUCUUAUUUACUGGUUGUUGAUUCAGUG